ensembl:lncRNA
AUUAAUUGUUAACAUAAUGACGCAUUUAUUUUUAAUGUGCUCCUUCUGGUAAUUAGUGCAUGUACCUGGGGCUUUCAAUAGUCUCUCCGUUUGCUUUUUCACAUUUCCAUGCGUAUUAUCUUGCUUUUGUCUUAUUGUCCUUGGUGGAGCUUCCAAUGAGCAGCGUUUAGUUCAUCUCCAGCAAUUCCCUCACAGGUGUUCCAGCACACAGAAAAAGUCAUAAUUAUUAGAUUGCUCUUUUAUUACCUUUGAGCGCCUGCCACUUGAUGAGUGAGAACAGGUCUGUGGGGCGUUCUCUACAUUUCAUGCAAAGAUGUCGCAGGACCCCUACUCAGGACUGUGAAUGCAUAAAAAUGAUUGCCAUUUUCUCACAUUUGGUCAUGAAAAAUGAGAUAUGAAUGAAUUGUACAGGUAUAAUGAGGAAAUGAGAGCUAGGAUGGAAAGAUAUGGCUAAAACAUGGAGAGGGAGGUAGACAAAUUAAGCAGGAAACGUGACUAAGAACAGACAAACAAAGCAAAGGAGAGUGGAGCGUAGCAUUAGCAUUAGCCUCACUGAUUGAAUUAGCUGGCUAAUGUGAUUGUGAGGUGGUCAUGUUAGCUUCAGGGUCCGGUAUGAACACAUUGUGGCCUUUUCUGCACAUUGAUGUCAAAAUGAAGGCACUGUUUCAUGAUUAAAACCUAACAAGGAGAAAAAAAAUCUACAUCUUGCCUGAAUGCACUUAUCUUUUGUUGUUUUGCAGCUGCAAGUGGCAUGAAUUUAUCUGUGUGGUGUUCAUUAUUCCUGCUUAACCAGACUUUCUCAACGGACCGGCCCAACAAUGGCAAAUCUGUGAUUCAGAAGGACAAUAAGCUUUUAUGUGGAAAUGUAUAGAAACUCUAUCUAUCCAGGAAUCCCGGUGUUUGCUGGAAGACAUACCCCUGACUCCAUCCAGAAUGAAGCGGCUUCACCUGUAUGUGAAAAGGUCACCUGACCACCCGUUGGCGAGUCAAGACGGAUCCUGCUGUCACACCAGAUGAUAGACAGUAUAAUAGCUUUCCUGGGCCUGGGGUGUGUAUUCAGACAGGCAAAAAUGAAAAGAUCAGAGGAGACAGGUAUUGGUGCACAUCUUUGGUGAGUUAAAGAACGAUGUAAGCAAUUUUCUGUUUUGUAAGGUAAGCUAUCUGCAGCUCAUGCCCCCAAUCUUCUGUAAGCAGCCACCUUAGAAGUGGUAAGUAGAGGGCUGCUUUAAAAUCUUGGUGACCUGCUAGAGCAUUUAUUGAUUCGAUAGAUGUUUACUCAUGUAAAUGUUGUGUGAGAUGUGUGCACUCCUCAUGUGUUAGUCACAGAUAUAUUGUGAUCAAAUGAGAGGCACAUUACUGUGCAUUCAUGAUAAAAGCUUUCAUGCCUCUGGUUUGGAAUAAUAAAUGCCAAAGGGAGAUGGAGAGAGGAUGGUGU